UUGCAGUUUUGCUCACCCGACUAAAGGAAUGGACAGACACCAAAAGGAAAAAGUCGUGGUACACAUUAGAACAGAGCUUUACACCUGUCCCCCUACACACCUUGCCGUGGCAAAUUUGCAGCCUACCGAAACUCACCACGACACGACACCCACUCAUACACAAUGUCCUCACAAUAUGGAGAAGACAUAAAGACCAAUGGAGACUGUCACCGGGACUGUCAAGGUUCUUCCCCAUAGCAGACAAUCCUGAUUUUCAGGGGGGUGGAGGGAGACCACUCCUUUCUCACCUUGUGGGAACGCCCACCCCGGACAUAACCGAACUGAUAGGGGGAGACCCACCCACGGUCAAGGCCAUAUAUGGACCACAUAGACAA